UUCCGGUUGAUCCCGCCGGAGGUUACUGCUAUCGAGGUUCGACUAAGCCAUGCGAGUCGAAUGCCGCAAGGCAUGGCGUACUGCUCAGUAACACGUGGACAACCUACCCUUAGGACUGGGAUAACCCCGGGAAACUGGGAAUAAUCCCCGAUAGUCCUCGAAGGCUGGAAUGCAUCGAGGGCGAAAGCUCCGGCGCCUAAGGAUGGGUCUGCGGCCUAUCAGGUAGUAGUGGGUGUAGCGUACCUACUAGCCUACGACGGGUACGGGUUGUGAGAGCAAGAGCCCGGAGAUGGAUUCUGAGACACGAAUCCAGGCCCUACGGGGUGCAGCAGGCGCGAAAACUUUACAAUGCUGGCAACAGCGAUAAGGGAACCUCGAGUGCCAGGUUACAAAUCUGGCUGUCGAGAUGCCUAAAAAGCAUUUCAUAGCAAGGGCCGGGCAAGACCGGUGCCAGCCGCCGCGGUAACACCGGCGGCUCGAGUGGUAACCGUUAUUAUUGGGUCUAAAGGGUCUGUAGUCGGCCGGAUAAUUCUCUUGGGAAAUCUGGCAGCUCAACUGUCAGGCU
rnacentral:rRNA from 1 species